rnacentral:rRNA from 1 species
UGACUGACCGAUAGUGAACCAGUACCGUGAGGGAAAGGCGAAAAGAACCCCGGCGAGGGGAGUGAAAAAGAACCUGAAACCGUGUACGUACAAGCAGUAGGAGCCCACUGGUUGGGUGACUGCGUACCUUUUGUAUAAUGGGUCAGCGACUUAUAUUCUGUAGCAAGGUUAACCGUAUAGGGGAGCCGCAGGGAAACCGAGUCUUAACUGGGCGUUAAGUUGCAGGGUAUAGACCCGAAACCCGGUGAUCUAGCCAUGGGCAGGUUGAAGGUUGGGUAACACUAACUGGAGGACCGAACCGACUAAUGUUGAAAAAUUAGCGGAUGACUUGUGGCUGGGGGUGAAAGGCCAAUCAAACCGGGAGAUAGCUGGUUCUCCCCGAAAGCUAUUUAGGUAGCGCCUCGUGAACUCAUCUUCGGGGGUAGAGCACUGUUUCGGCUAGGGGGUCAUCCCGACUUACCAACCCGAUGCAAACUACGAAUACCGAAGAAUGUUAUCACGGGAGACACACGGCGGGUGCUAACGUCCGUCGUGAAGAGGGAAACAACCCAGACCGCCAGCUAAGGUCCCAAAGUCAUGGUUAAGUGGGAAACGAUGUGGGAAGGCCCAGACAGCCAGGAUGUUGGCUUAGAAGCAGCCAUCAUUUAAAGAAAGCGUAAUAGCUCACUGGUCGAGUCGGCCUGCGCGGAAGAUGUAACGGGGCUAAACCAUGCACCGAAGCUGCGGCAGCGACACUAUGUGUUGUUGGGUAGGGGAGCGUUCUGUAAGCCGUUGAAGGUGGCCUGUGAGGGUUGCUGGAGGUAUCAGAAGUGCGAAUGCUGACAUAAGUAACGAUAAUGCGGGUGAAAAACCCGCACGCCGGAAGACCAAGGGUUCCUGUCCAACGUUAAUCGGGGCAGGGUGAGUCGACCCCUAAGGCGAGGCCGAAAGGCGUAGUCGAUGGGAAACAGGUUAAUAUUCCUGUACUCGGUGUUACUGCGAAGGGGGGACGGAGAAGGCUAUGUUGGCCGGGCGACGGUUGUCCCGGUUUAAGCAUGUAGGCGGAUGUUCCAGGUAAAUCCGGAACGUCACUAACGCUGAGGUGUGAUGACGAGGCACUACGGUGCUGAAGUGACAAAUGCCCUGCUUCCAGGAAAAGCCUCUAAGCAUCAGGUAACAUCAAAUCGUACCCCAAACCGACACAGGUGGUCAGGUAGAGAAUACCAAGGCGCUUGAGAGAACUCGGGUGAAGGAACUAGGCAAAAUGGUGCCGUAACUUCGGGAGAAGGCACGCUGAUGGUAAGUGAAGCGACUUGCUCGUGGAGCUGAAAUCAGUCGAAGAUACCAGCUGGCUGCAACUGUUUAUUAAAAACACAGCACUGUGCAAACACGAAAGUGGACGUAUACGGUGUGACGCCUGCCCGGUGCCGGAAGGUUAAUUGAUGGGGUUAUCCUCGCGGAGAAGCUCUUGAUCGAAGCCCCGGUAAACGGCGGCCGUAACUAUAACGGUCCUAAGGUAGCGAAAUUCCUUGUCGGGUAAGUUCCGACCUGCACGAAUGGCGUAAUGAUGGCCAGGCUGUCUCCACCCGAGACUCAGUGAAAUUGAACUCGCUGUGAAGAUGCAGUGUACCCGCGGCAAGACGGAAAGACCCCGUGAACCUUUACUAUAGCUUGACACUGAACACUGGUCCUUGAUGUGUAGGAUAGGUGGGAGGCUUUGAAGUGUGGACGCCAGUCUGCAUGGAGCCAUCCUUGAAAUACCACCCUUUAAUGGCUGGUGUUCUAACGUGGGCCCGUAAUCCGGGUUGCGGACAGUGUCUGGUGGGUAGUUUGACUGGGGCGGUCUCCUCCUAAAGAGUAACGGAGGAGCACGAAGGUCAGCUAAUCCUGGUCGGACAUCAGGAGGUUAGUGCAAUGGCAUAAGCUGGCUUGACUGCGAGCGUGACGGCGCGAGCAGGUGCGAAAGCAGGUCAUAGUGAUCCGGUGGUUCUGAAUGGAAGGGCCAUCGCUCAACGGAUAAAAGGUACUCCGGGGAUAACAGGCUGAUACCGCCCAAGAGUUCAUAUCGACGGCGGUGUUUGGCACCUCGAUGUCGGCUCAUCACAUCCUGGGGCUGAAGUAGGUCCCAAGG